GAUAUACCGGUUCUCGUACAAUCACUGAAGUUAAGCAACAUCAAGCAUGGUUAGUACUUAGAUCGGUAACCACUUGGGAAUACUAGGUGCU